UCAGGCUGGCCUCAAACUCACAGAGAGCUGCCUGUCCUUGCCUCCUGAGUGUUGGGAUUAAAAGCAUUUGACACCACUGCCUGACCAUACUGACUUCUUUGUUCAUUAAUUGUUGUUACAUAUUUACUUCCCCUCGCUGCCCCUUAACUCUUUCCAGAUUCAUCUAUCUCCCACCUCUGCCAACUCUUUUUGUCUUCUUCUUCCUCUUCCUUCUCCUCUUCUACUUCUCUCCUCCCUCUCCUCUUCUCCCCUUCCUGUUUUUGUUCUCCCCCUCCCCUCCCUCUUCCCUCUCCUCCUCUUCCUUUUCUAUAACCCUGUGGUACCAAAUUGUGCUGCUCACAUACUUAUUGUGUGGCACUGGUGCUUGAACAACCUAGCAGGGGCCACACCCUUAAAGAAAACUGACCCUCCCUCCUCCAGAAGCCAUUAACUGUCAACUCUUCAGCUACAAGUGGGUGUUCAGGAACUCUUCUCCACUUGCAAUCUGGUGCUGGGAUUACAAGUACAUGGCACCAUGUUCAGCUUCAUGUGGGUCCUGGUUAUUUAACUCAGUUCCUCAAUGCUUAUAAAGCAAACACGUCACCAACUGAGCCAUCUCCCCAGGCCCUCCACAGUGGACAUAUUUACACCCACCUCUUAGCAUACAUGUGGAAUGAUUUCUGUUUUGUUUUUUGUUUUUGAAAAAGGAUCUCACUGCGUAUCCCUGACUGACCUGGAGCUUGCUAAACAGGCUUGCCUUGACCUCACAGAGAUCCACCUGCCUCUGUUUCCCAAGUGCUGGAAAUAAAGAUGUAUGCCACCACACUUGGCUGUAAAGGUUUUUUUUUUUUUUUUUUUUUUUUUUUUGAGAGUGAAUUAAAUUCUGUAAACAGGAAAAGUUAAUUGUAGAAUAUUAGUAUUUUAAAGUUUUGUAGAAACUGCCAGGUUGUCUUCAUAUAAGGUAACUGAUUGUCAUUCCUAAAGAUGUGAAAGUAUCCCCCUUAACCAUACAUGCCCUUGUCAACCUUUUAAAUGUUACAGAAUGGUGAAGAAAAAUGUUAUAAUUUAACACUCCUCAGUCAUUUGAAAUUUCUUCAUUGUGUAAUAGUAUUUCAUUUUUCUAUUAUGCUUAUUUCCCUAUUCUUUGAUGUAGAUAUAUUCACUUGUUUGUUUGUUUGUUUGUUUUUGAAACAGGGUUUCUCUGUGUAGCCCUGGCUGUCCUAGAACUCACUCUGUAGACCACACUGGCCUCAAACUCAGAGAUCUGCCUGCCUCUCCCUCCCAAGUGCUAGGAUUAAAGGUGUGAGCCAUCACUGCUCAGCUUCAACUGUCUGUUGUUAUAUUGAUAUAGUAUAUUGUAUAUUCUCUUAGCCUAAGUAUCCCUCUCCAACUCCAUAAUUUUACUGACAGUUUUUGAUCAUGUAUUCAUCAAAAUGAAUUUUAAAAUAAAUUUAUUAAUUCUUCUAUUUCUUUUCCUGAUAAUGAGGAGAUGUGUAGUUGGACUUUCUUUGGACUGCCAGCUUCCAAAUAAUGACAUGGAGACUUCUUAUUAAGUAUGAAAACUUGGCCUUAGCUUAAGCUUGUUCCCAACUAGCUCUUAUACUUUAAAUUAACCUGUUUAUGUUAAUCUACAUUCUGUCAUGUGACUUACUACCUUUCCUCAAUACAGUGUAUAUCUGACUUCCUCUAUGUCUCACUAGUGAAUUCUGUGCUUCUCAGAUUCUUCCCCCAAGUUCCUUUCUCUCUCCCCAGAAAUCCUGCCUAUCCUCUCCUGCCUAGUUAUUGGCUGUUCAGCUCUUUGUUAAACCAAUCAGAAGGUGCCUUGGAAGAGACACAUCUUCACAGUGUAUAAAAAGAUUAUCCCACAACAGAGAUGUCUUAAGCAUUUUUGGUGGGCUUUAGUGAAAGGGUUUUGCUCUGUAUUCCUGGCUGGAAUAGAAUUCCCUAUAUAGCUCAUGUUGACCUUGAAUUCAAUCUCUCAGGUACUGAAAAUUCAGGCAUGUAAUACCAUGCCUGGUUUUUUUUUUUUUUUUUAGUUUUUAAAGUUUUUUUGUGUGUAUGUAUUUGUGUGUGUGCGCGCGCGCGCGUGCAUGUGCGUGCUCAUGAGCGUGCCCAUGUGCAAGCAUGUGCAAUGCCUGUGGGUUCCCUGGAACUGACUGUUGUGAACCAUUGAUGUGGGUGCUUAAAACCAAACUCUGGUCCCCAAGAUGAAUUUUAAUAAUACAUUCAAUUUUGUUUGUAGGCUUCCUAAGGCUUACCUCAGGUGUGCUGGUGAACUAAUCCUCAUGUUUCCACAGUAGUCAUGCUCUAUAAGGCCAGUGGUUCAUGUAGUAAUGUAUGCUGAAUAAUGAACCUGCUUCCAGGGAAAACACAAGAUCAUAUCCUUCAUGUGGUCAGCAAUGUUAGAUACUACUUUACCACUAUAUUUGUUUUUUAAUCAGUGAAGUCAACAAUGAAAAAGCAAAAGACUAUGAAAUAUAUUGCCAAGUGGACACUUACUUCUGGUAUAACAGUUGAAACAAGAGGAAUGAAGUCAUCUUGUUUAUUUCAGAGGGGAGCAUGUGCCUUGAUGGUUCGGUUUUCCUCUGCAUUGUGCUGUGUAUGUUUGAAAGUGAUUGUGAAAGACCUGUUAAUUUUGGGUCACAAAUAAAAUUUAAUGAGUUGCCAAAUCUCAA